GGGACACGUGGUAUCCUGUCUGAAUAUGGGGGGACCAUCCUCCAAGGCUAAAUACUCCUGACUGACCGAUAGUGAACCAGUACCGUGAGGGAAAGGCGAAAAGAACCCCGGCGAGGGGAGUGAAAAAGAACCUGAAACCGUGUACGUACAAGCAGUGGGAGCACAGAGCAAUCUGUGUGACUGCGUACCUUUUGUAUAAUGGGUCAGCGACUUAUAUUCUGUAGCAAGGUUAACCGAAUAGGGGAGCCGAAGGGAAACCGAGUCUUAACUGGGCGUUAAGUUGCAGGGUAUAGACCCGAAACCCGGUGAUCUAGCCAUGGGCAGGUUGAAGGUUGGGUAACACUAACUGGAGGACCGAACCGACUAAUGUUGAAAAAUUAGCGGAUGACUUGUGGCUGGGGGUGAAAGGCCAAUCAAACCGGGAGAUAGCUGGUUCUCCCCGAAAGCUAUUUAGGUAGCGCCUCGUGAAUUCAUCUCCGGGGGUAGAGCACUGUUUCGGCAAGGGGGUCAUCCCGACUUACCAACCCGAUGCAAACUGCGAAUACCGGAGAAUGUUAUCACGGGAGACACACGGCGGGUGCUAACGUCCGUCGUGAAGAGGGAAACAACCCAGACCGCCAGCUAAGGUCCCAAAGUCAUGGUUAAGUGGGAAACGAUGUGGGAAGGCCCAGACAGCCAGGAUGUUGGCUUAGAAGCAGCCAUCAUUUAAAGAAAGCGUAAUAGCUCACUGGUCGAGUCGGCCUGCGCGGAAGAUGUAACGGGGCUAAACCAUGCACCGAAGCUGCGGCAGCGACGCUGAUGCGUUGUUGGGUAGGGGAGCGUUCUGUAAGCCUGUGAAGGUGUGCUGUGAGGCAUGCUGGAGGUAUCAGAAGUGCGAAUGCUGACAUAAGUAACGAUAAAGCGGGUGAAAAGCCCGCUCGCCGGAAGACCAAGGGUUCCUGUCCAACGUUAAUCGGGGCAGGGUGAGUCGACCCCUAAGGCGAGGCCGAAAGGCGUAGUCGAUGGGAAACAGGUUAAUAUUCCUGUACUUGGUGUUACUGCGAAGGGGGGACGGAGAAGGCUAUGUUGGCCGGGCGACGGUUGUCCCGGUUUAAGCGUGUAGGCUGGUUUUCCAGGCAAAUCCGGAAAAUCAAGGCUGAGGCGUGAUGACGAGGCACUACGGUGCUGAAGCAACAAAUGCCCUGCUUCCAGGAAAAGCCUCUAAGCAUCAGGUAACAUCAAAUCGUACCCCAAACCGACACAGGUGGUCAGGUAGAGAAUACCAAGGCGCUUGAGAGAACUCGGGUGAAGGAACUAGGCAAAAUGGUGCCGUAACUUCGGGAGAAGGCACGCUGAUAUGUAGGUGAAGUCCCUCGCGGAUGGAGCUGAAAUCAGUCGAAGAUACCAGCUGGCUGCAACUGUUUAUUAAAAACACAGCACUGUGCAAACACGAAAGUGGACGUAUACGGUGUGACGCCUGCCCGGUGCCGGAAGGUUAAUUGAUGGGGUCAGCGCAAGCGAAGCUCUUGAUCGAAGCCCCGGUAAACGGCGGCCGUAACUAUAACGGUCCUAAGGUAGCGAAAUUCCUUGUCGGGUAAGUUCCGACCUGCACGAAUGGCGUAAUGAUGGCCAGGCUGUCUCCACCCGAGACUCAGUGAAAUUGAACUCGCUGUGAAGAUGCAGUGUACCCGCGGCAAGACGGAAAGACCCCGUGAACCUUUACUAUAGCUUGACACUGAACAUUGAGCCUUGAUGUGUAGGAUAGGUGGGAGGCUUUGAAGUGUGGACGCCAGUCUGCAUGGAGCCGACCUUGAAAUACCACCCUUUAAUGUUUGAUGUUCUAACGUUGACCCGUGAUCCGGGUUGCGGACAGUGUCUGGUGGGUAGUUUGACUGGGGCGGUCUCCUCCUAAAGAGUAACGGAGGAGCACGAAGGUUGGCUAAUCCUGGUCGGACAUCAGGAGGUUAGUGCAAUGGCAUAAGCCAGCUUGACUGCGAGCGUGACGGCGCGAGCAGGUGCGAAAGCAGGUCAUAGUGAUCCGGUGGUUCUGAAUGGAAGGGCCAUCGCUCAACGGAUAAAAGGUACUCCGGGGAUAACAGGCUGAUACCGCCCAAGAGUUCAUAUCGACGGCGGUGUUUGGCACCUCGAUGUCGGCUCAUCACAUCCUGGGGCUGAAGUAGGUCCCAAGGGUAUGGCUGUUCGCCAUUUAAAGUGGUACGCGAGCUGGGUUUAGAACGUCGUGAGACAGUUCGGUCCCUAUCUGCCGUGGGCGCUGGAGAACUGAGGGGGGCUGCUCCUAGUACGAGAGGACCGGAGUGGACGCAUCACUGGUGUUCGGGUUGUCAUGCCAAUGGCACUGCCCGGUAGCUAAAUGCGGAAGAGAUAAGUGCUGAAAGCAUCUAAGCACGAAACUUGCCCCGAGAUGAGUUCUCCCUGACCCUUUAAGGGUCCUGAAGGAACGUUGAAGACGACGACGUUGAUAGGCCGGGUGUGUAAGCGCAGCGAUGCGUUGAGCUAACCGGUACUAAUGAACCGUGAGGCUUAACCUU
rnacentral:rRNA from 1 species